UACGGAGGGGGUUAGCGUUGUUCGGAAUUACUGGGCGUAAAGCGCGCGUAGGCGGAUUAGAAAGUUGGGGGUGAAAUCCCGGGGCUCAACCUCGGAACUGCCUCCAAAACUGCUAGUCUAGAGUUCGAGAGAGGUGAGUGGAAUUCCGAGUGUAGAGGUGAAAUUCGUAGAUAUUCGGAGGAACACCAGUGGCGAAGGCGGCUCACUGGCUCGAUACUGACNCUGAGGUGCGAAAGUGUGNGGAGCAAACAGC
rnacentral:rRNA from 1 species